CUACGGGCCGCUCCAGUGGGGAAUAUUGGACAAUGGGGGAAACCCUGAUCCAGCAAUACCGCGUGUGUGAAGAAGGCCUGCGGGUUGUAAAGCACUUUCGGUUGGGAGGACUGCUUCUAGCACUAAUAUUGUUGGAAGUUGACGUUACCUUCAGAAGAAGCACCGGCUAACUCCGUGCCAGCAGCCGGCGGUAAUACGGAGGGUGCAAGCGUUAAUCGGAAUUACUGGGCGUAAAGCGCGCAUAGGCGGCUAGAUCAGUCGGGUGUGAAAGCCCCGGGCUUAACCUGGGAACUGCAUCCGAUACUGUCUAGCUUGAGUACAGGAGAGGAGAGUGGAAUUCCACAUGUAGCGGUGAAAUGCGUAGAUAUGUGGAGGAACACCAAUGGCGAAGGCAGCUCUCUGGCCUGAUACUGACGCUGAGGUGCGAAAGCGUGGGGAGCAAACAGGAUUAGAUACCCGCGUAGUC
rnacentral:rRNA from 1 species